AUAUCUAUCACUCCUCCCAGUUUAGCGUCAUCUGCAAACUUGCUGAGGGUGCAAUCCACGCCAUCCUCCAGAUCAUUAAUGAAGAUAUUGAACAAAACCGGCCCCAGGACCGACCCUUGGGGCACUUUACUUUGUGUAUCUUGACAUGAUGUUGACAGUUUGUGUUUUAACUGUUAUAAAGUUUUAACUUUGCAUCUCACCAUCUACUGUCAUCAAAUAAUUGUCUGACACCCGCCCCCCAAUUUCCCACAACUGUGAAAAUAUAAAUAGAUAAAACAUUGAAAAAAUGCAUAAAUCCCAUACUUUUGUGCUACUGUCAACAUUUAAAAAAUGCUUAAAAAUAAUCAUUGAUAUUAUCAUUUAAACCAAGCCUAGUUAUAGUUGUUAAAUAACAUGCACAGGCUACUGAAAGUUUAAGAAUAAGACCAAUUUUAAUUCUAAUACUGCAUAACAAAAAUAUAUAAAUACAUCAGAUGUAACAAAAUACAGUUGAAAAUAAUUUCAGAGAAACUAUUUAAAGAUAGUUUCUAUUUUGAUGUUGAAACAGAUUCUAAACAUUAUUUAAGCCUUACAACAUUCCUGUGAAGCAGCUUGUUUUGACAGAUUAACCAAAGUGGGCAAGCCACUUAUUUUGUUUUCUGAAUGCAAACAAGAAGCUCUUAUCCACGUAGCCCUAAACUUGUCCACUGUCACAUAGCAAUUCAGUGUCAGAAUGGGGAAGGAAGUUGGGACUCCUGGCUCUCAAUCCUGUGCUCUAGACAUACUUCUGGUGAAUACCACAAUUAUAAGCAGUCUGGUAUUACAGAGCAGAUAUUAUAAUUUUAAUUGAAUAGAAGAUCAUAGGGCAGUUUGGUUUAGGAUUGUCCAGAGGUGGAGUAAUUUCAGAGUACGAUUUUUGCUUGACUCUUAUCAGUUGUUAAGCUACUGUUAUUAUCAUUAUCUGCAUUAUGUUUUCUAUUAGACCUGAAGAAUGGCCACUCUCUAGUACUCUGUCAGAUUUAUUGUGUACUGUGGUAUCAGCGGGACACAAAAUACUGUCUAGACAUUGGAGUGACACUGUGGAAUUAACUACCGAAGAAUGGUAGAUUGUCUGUAUAAACCUGAUGAAAUGGGAGAAAAACUGUUGUGACAACAAAUGGGAAAUUACCAUGCAUGUUGCUUGCAUUAUUCAUAUAUUCAUAGUCCAGUAAACCUGAGAUUUUUAUAUUGGGAUUUUGCCUGCCUUUGGACAUGGAGCAGUUGGAAUCAUUCUUGAUAUACAACAGGAAUUUUUUCCAAUGACAUUUCAUGAUUUAUUUUGUGUAAUUGUCCUGGUACGUGUGGCACGGAUAUGUGGCUAUCCCUUUUUAACCAUGUCAUUGUCAUUAAAUGAAUAAUUCUUUUUACAGUU